GCAAAUAUAAACAGGAGCCCCAAGUAGCGGUGUCCAUCGCCCAGAUUUGACGCAACCUGAGGUCCUCGCAUCACCAUUCUCGAGAAAACCUGUGUGCAGCAGCCAUGCUUGGAAUGAACAGCAAGUGUCUCGUGGUCGCCCUCUUGGUGGUGGCUGUGCUGUGCGGAAUGACCGCCGCCCAACGUGGAUACGGCAGUUCGGGAGGUUACGGAAAUUCCGGUGGCUACGGUAGUUCUGGUGGCUACGGUCGUGGCUCCGGAGGAAGCUACGGAGGCAGCCGCGGAAGUGGCUACGGCGGUUCCGGCAGUUACGGAGGCUCGCGCGGUUCUGGUGGCUACGGAGGCUCUCGCGGAUCCGGUAGCUACGGAGGAUCACGACGCUACUGAAUCUUUGUUCGCUGAUGUUAUUCGCAACCUGGACGCCAUUUGAAGAACAGUCUGCUGGUCACAGAAUGUCACGAAUGCGAAGAAACGAGAGACAACGCUUUGAAUUUGACUGAGGACGCCACCCACAGCACUUUGAUGUAAAACGACGAAUAUAAUGUCUUAAUGAUACCUCUCAUCACUUAUUACUUUAAUAAAGCAUGAUUCAAUUUGUUUUUCUAA